CCUACGGGAGGCAGCAGUGAGGAAUAUUGGUCAAUGGACGCGAGUCUGAACCAGCCAAGUAGCGUGAAGGAUGACUGCCCUAUGGGUUGUAAACUUCUUUUAUAAAGGAAUAAACUGAGGCACGUGUGCCUUUUUGCAUGUACCUUAUGAAUAAGGAUCGGCUAACUCCGUGCCAGCAGCCGCGGUAAUACGGAGGAUCCGAGCGUUAUCCGGAUUUAUUGGGUUUAAAGGGAGCGUAGGUGGUUUGUUAAGUCAGUUGUGAAAGUUUGCGGCUCAACCGUAAAAUUGCAGUUGAUACUGGUAGGCUUGAGUACAGUUGAGGUAGGCGGAAUGUGUGGUGUAGCGGUGAAAUGCUUAGAGAUCACGAAGAACUCCGAUUGCGAAGGCAGCUCACUAAACUGCGACUGACAUUGAGGCUCGAAAGUGUGGGUAUCAAACAGGAUUAGAUACCCGAGUAGUC
rnacentral:rRNA from 1 species